CCCCAGGGCUUUGGUUAAAGGAAGAAGAAGAAGAAGAAAAAAAAAAAAAAAAAAAAAAAGAUUUGCUGAAAAGAAACCAAGUUAUCAGUAAACUCCAGUACAUGCCCGCCUUCAAGACCUGAGGGAGACUCUCCCACAGCCCUAUGCCACACCAAACAACUAGUUUGAUAGAUAUAUUCAUUUUGCCCUUAAAAGCUGAUGGGGUAGCAGAGCCAAAUUUGCUUCCUAUAAUAAAGCGAGGAAUUUCAGAAAAUUACAAGGGCUGCCUUGCACAGAAAGCCUGCCAGUGAUCCUGAGUUUUUGCUACACGUAUCCCAGUAGCAUAAGGCUGGCUGGAGGGAAUCAGCGCCAGGUAUGUGCGCGCUGCAUCUAGGAGAACUGAUAAAAUCGGAUCCUGUCAGCUGUGUAAAUUGAGAGGAAGAGGCGCCUUCAGCGACUUCCUUCGGGAAGGUUCGUUUUUGUGCUGGUGAACUGCUCCCCCUGGUGGAUCCGCAGCCUCCACGUUCACGGAACCAUUCUACAGGGACCAAACGUGCAGGACAUUUGCUGUGUGCCCUGCCAUCCAAGGACAGAGAGGAUGAUGAUUGGGCAGGGAUCAUCGUCUAUGUCAAGUCUCUCACUUUGGAAUACUCUGCAAAGUCAAAUUGCAGCCUCUGGUCGAACACUUUAUAAUCUAAAUAAGGAGAUAUUUUAAAUAUUUAUUUAACAAGACAUAUUUUAAAUAACCAACAUAUGUAAAUAGAGCGCUCUUAGCCUGUACAUUAUUGCUGGGUCGAUUCUCAUGUUCUGAUAUAUAAUUAAUUACCGGUUUAUUCCUCUGUAAACUGAAGCAGGGGAUAAUUCCAAGAUGCCAGGUCACUGAUGCCAGCAAAAUUGUAAUACCUUCCUGUCAGCAGGAUCUGCAGAAGAAAUAUCGAGACUGUAAAACCUGAGGCACUCCUUAUUCAACCUGUCUGGAAUACUGCUUCUGAUCCUCUUUUUGUUGCUUUCUCCUGAUGCCUGGACUUUCUCUCAGUGCCACCUAGGUGAGCUUGGAAUGAAUAAGUUGAAGGAGAACUACCACGUGGGCUCUAGGGAUUGAAUUCAGUUCAUGAGGUUCAGUAAGCUCUUUUAUCCAUUGAGCCAGCACUCACGCCUAAUUUCUGAUGCAUUAUUAUUUGAGUUCAUGGUAUCAUAGUAUGUUCAUAAAGCCAAAACUCUAAAUCAAAGGUUAAACUUAAACUCUGUGCAUUAGCUUACCGGCUCCACUUUAACCAGUAUAUUAGUGGACGUUAACACUAAUGUGGCUAAACUACAGACUUAGUGUGGAAAAAAAAUUGAAAUAAAUUGUUCAUGCCAUGAGGACAUAACAACCCACUGAGUGACAAAAUUCCACUGUCAGUAUUUGUCACUCUUUUCAACAUUCAGCAUUUAAUCUGUAGUGGAUCUUUUUGCUAUGCUGUAAACAUAGACAAUUUAAAACUUUGGGAACACAAAUUAUAGAAUAAACAAAGAUGUUUGAUAGUAUGGUUAGAAUGAACAUCUUGGGUACUGUGGUAGUUUGAAUUAUUUGGCCCCCAUAAGCUCAUAGGGAAUGGCACUAUUAGGAGGUGUGGCCUUGUUGGAAGAGACUGGAUGACACAUGCCUAUAAUCCAGAUCUUGAGGCUGGAGGAAACACCUUUAAUCUGGGCCAGACCUUCUGGAGGAAGUGUGACACUCUGGAGGAGGGGUUUGAGGUUUCAUACACUCAGGAUACUGUCCAGUGAGUCGGUCAACUUCCUGUUACCUCUGAGUCCAGAUAUAGCACCACAUCUGCCUGAAUGUCACAUGCUCCCUGGCAUUGAUCAUAAAUGGACUGGACCUCUAAAACCGUAAGCUAGCCACCCUCAAUUAAAUGUCUUCCUUUAUAAGAGUUGCUAUGGUCAUGGGGUCUCUUCACAGUAAUAAAAGCCCAAACUAAAACAGGUACACAACCUAUCUCUUUAUUGAUAUUAUUUCAGUGGUUAAAGUAAGUAUCUUUCUUAUGGUUAAGAGAAUGGGGUUUGUGAAGUAAGGAUUACCACAGCUUCCCAUGUGAAUGCUGUGCAGUUAUCAAAAGAGGGAAAUUAAAGGGUAAAAAUGGCUGCUAGGGUUCUCUCUUCAGUGAGACCUUGUGAAGCGAUGGCUGUGAUUAGGAUUUCAAUGCUAACCAAGGAGGCCUCAAAAAAUUACAUUUGGGGAUUUGAAGUGGAAAUCUCUAGUUGCCAUAACUGAGAUGUUAGGUGUUUUUUUUAAUGAUAUAUUGAUUAAGUUGACAUAUACAAAUCAGUAAGGAAAAUUCACUUUCUGUUGAAAUUAAAUGGUAACAAAGCUAGUGACAGUGCCACAAGCCUGUAAUUGUAGAACUCACAGAGGACCAGGACCCCCAGGCAACAUGCAGUCCUUACAGAAGGAGACACCUCUUCCCCAGAAUAAGAAUAAACUGUGACAAAAGACGCUUGAAAUGCUGAAAUAUUAUUGUGAUUUAUAGCUCUGAUUUUGUCAGUGUUCUUAUUAACAGCCCUGUGGAGGGUGGAAUAGAAUGCUUUUUUUUUUUUCCUGUUUCUUUUUCCGUGUACAGACACCAUGCUGGGAAUUUGUAUGAAACACACAAAAGGUUUGAAAUGUGAAGAAGAGAAAUCAGACUGAGGACAGUAAGGAGGACUCUGAGUUUUCCUUUUCCUUCAUUUUCCUGUAAGAGCUAGAUCUCCAAGUCAAGGGCCCCAGAGUCUCUUGUGAUAGCCUCUCCUCACUUCUUGACCUUCCCAUCCUCUCUACUACAAGUGUCAAAGAACUAGGAAACCGAGGAAGAAAGAAAACAUUUAAUCAAUAACUGCUAUACCAAGCCAAAUCCAUGAAACUAACCAGAGGAUGCUCCAGUUUAUGUGGGGAGCAGGAAUAUUCAUUUCUACAGCACAUAAAAGAGCCCCACCCUUGGGCCUGUGGAAGGUUGCACAUGCUGUGCCAUGAGACACAUCUGUCCCUCCUACAUGGGGGAGAGUUGUUGGAGAUUCACCCCAGAUUAAUAGCAACAAACAGUAUCUUCUCUUCCUUUUCUCCACUCUGUCAACAGAAGUGACUGAGGGACCUGAGCUUCUGUCCCUAACUUAUAUUCCUCCACCCACUAGAGUGGUCUCAAAGGAAAAUAGGUAAAGAAGGUUUAAAGAACUCCUUAGCUUCUCAAUGUGCAAUUUCAAUUAAUCAUUUCUAGAACAAGAAUAAAAUCAACUCAAAACAACAGAUAUAGUACUUAAUCUAUGACAUAAAUGCUAGAAUUAUCUGACAAAAAUUUUAAAGCAGCUAUCAUAUAAAUGAUUCAAUAAACAAUGUAAGUACUCAUGAAAUUAAUAUAUAUGAAAGAGAGUGUAAGGAAGGAAGGAAUUCAGGAAAGAAGUAAGGAAGGAAAUAGGAAAUGAGAAAUUUUGGUCUUAACAAAAAUAAUAGAUACAAUGAGAAGCCAGUUGGAAAAUGUUUGAGCUGAAAAAUGCAAAGAGUCAGCAUCAAAACACAGUGCUUGGAAUCUAUAUCAGAGUGGAAGAGACACAGGAAUAUUGGUGAGCUGGAAGUCACAAGAACUGCUCAUCUGUAGAAAGUACAGAUACUUUUUUCAGAAAGCAGUCUGAAAAAAAAAAUAGACAGAACUUCAAGGUCCUCUGAAUAUAAAAAAGACCUGAUAUUUGCAUUAUCAAAGUCCCACUGGGAAAUAAGGGUAAGGGCUUGAAAAUGGUCCCUAAUAAAUGAUGGGUGAAUUUUUCUAAAUUUGGCAAAAUAUAUAGAUCACUUGAUUGCAUAGAGUGGCUUUUAACAGAAUAAAUUCAAAAAAAUCCAUAUCAAAACAUAUCACUGAUAUUUUUUUAAGAACUAAAGACCAAAUACACACAUACCAAUAACAACAGCCAAAGAUGGGUUGUGUCCACCUGCAUGAAGAAUUCUAGAGUUAGGAAAAUGAUAGAGGCUAACUUUACAAUGUUCCAUGUUCCAUGGAUCCAUUUAUUUAACAGUAUUGAGACAAUAACAUUAUGAAGAUUGCUAUGCACAAGGAUUGAAGAGGAAGGAAUUGCGGCCAUCAGAGGGCAGUGGGAAGGGCCCUGUGGGUAUAUUACAGAAAAAAAUAUUACUUCUAGUGCCUCUAUAGAUGUCAAUAAUGGAUAUACUAUGCAUUUUGCAAGACGUAGCACUGGGAGAAACCAAGUAAAGGACUAGGUAACAGUCCUACAACUACAUAUCUAUAAUGACGUCAAAAUUACAAUUUAAUUUAGUACCUAAUAAAUCUAAAGGUUCUACCACUCUGAAAUUAUAAUCAAGUAAACUUGACUAUCUUUUGGAUCCUAGGCAAUAUUGGGCAAAUGUUCAGUGUUUUGAGCCUACUUUCUUGGCAGUUGAGUGGGCAUGACAAGAUCUACAUUGCUGAGUUCAAAAAUGAAAUGAUGUUUAUAAAUGAGCAUAUCUCCUUCAGGGCUACGAGAGAAACUAUCAAGAACUAACCAGGUAAACACUGUUUGCCUGGCUCCAACCUAAACUAAGUAGAUUGUUUUUUUUUGUUUGUUUGUUUGUUAUUUGGUCAUAAUUUAUGUGAAAUGUUUCCUAUAACCAUGGUUCCUAUGCCUGAAUGGUAGCACAUGUGAUAUUCAAAUGAAAAACCACUAUGGGGUUUCCAAGUUCAAAGUCAAUAGUGACUAAUUAGAAUCUGUGUCCAUCAGUGUCUACCACCACUUCUAGCCUUUCUGAUGGGCAGCUCUUCCUCUGUGUUACCUACCUUUCAGUAAAGAAACAUUCUAUUCCUCUGGUUUCCUGUUUCCUUCUAGUAUCUCCAUGAUAUUGUACCUCUAAACUCAAGAAAGCAAAAGAAUGUUCCUCUGACAUAGCGAAGGACACAUUAUUAUUUAUAUAUCAUAUGUUUAUUUACAUGUAACUUAUUUAUAGCAUGUAAAUAUAUCUCAAUAAUUCUACCAUUUUAUAGCUGAAGAAACGUUAAUAAAUAAUAUAUUGAGAAA
ensembl:lncRNA